UGGCUAUGAUUAUAUAUUAUCCGCGCUUCUGAGAGAAAUCCAUGAAGCAUACAAGGAAAAAUGGUUGAAUUUCUUGAUAUGAGCUG
rnacentral:snoRNA from 1 species